GCCUUUCAAUUCCCACAAAAAAAAUUAAAACGUGGCAUUAAUUGACUAUAUAUAUGUGCCUUAUGAACAAUUCCUCGGUAGAUAUGACUGUGUGAACUUUCAAUUUGAGAGAUGUGUGUAUUGUAGAAGGAAUAAUAAUCAAAGCUUUCUGAGGCAUGCAAAUGGAGUGAUCGAUUGCUAUCGCAACACGUAAAGUGUAACAUUUAACCUGGAAGUGGAAUGUGCACGUUUGAAUACAAGUUAUACCAUCGGGAACUUUAGCUUCUUUGGAUUGAGCUAGAUAGAAGACAUGAAUAUGUAUGAUGACAACA